GGGCGUGGUUCUGGCGGGAGGGGCGGAGGGCGCCUGACCGCAAUCUGGGUUUGGAUGCUAGAAUUUGCAGUCCCCGGGUGCGUGGCACCCCUGGGGGGCGCUCGCUGUGUGGCUCUGGGCUGGUUUGCACACCUCUCUGAGUCUCAACGGCCACUAGCAAAAUGGUAGCGCUUGGUUCAGGGCUGUAAGCCAGUGCUAGGUCUCCGGCUUCCUCACUAGGCUGCGGGAUAACUUUGGUAAACUGGCGAUAAUAAUAGUACAACCUCCUGGGUUGUUAGGAAGAUUAAGCGAGUUAAUAUUUGGAGGGUGUUUACAACCACGUCUGUUAUGUGUAAAGAAAGUGGCAUUAAGUUCAUUAGAGAGACCACGGGAGGAGGUCUGGCUCCGAGGUUGAGUUCUCUUUCUCCAUGCUCCGAGUACCUAUGCCCAAGCCCAGUUUCCUCUUUUGCUCCUAGACACCAUGUCCGCCACUUCUCUGAGCUGUAAAGCCGCCACCUCCCUCUAUUUCUGACUGUAUGGUGAUACCUAAGUGUGAAGACCAGAGAGGGUGGGUGUCUAAAUGGUUAAGGACACAGAACACCUUGGCAUUGAACCAGCUCACCUAUAAACCGCCUCUAGCUGGUUCUGGGCAAGCUCCCAGCCAAUGAACAGCGGUUUUCUUCUGGAUAAAAUGAAAUUUGUAUCAAACUGGGCUCUGAGAAUCACAGGUGUGCUCCUGAAGUGGUAAGUAUUACAGUUGAUAGCCUCUGUGGUCCCUCGGGUCUGUUUCCCAUCUAGCUAGGUUCAGCUAAAGGAGGGAUCUGGGAGAAGUUAAUUUCUGUUGGAGACAGGAAGCUGAGCUUUGUCCCAGAUGCUGGCCUAGGGGGUACCCUUGUUGGGCAUGGAUCCCUGAAAAGUAAAGCAUGUGGAACUGGUGAGUCUGGGAUCCCCUUCCUCCUGUCCCCUGAUCACCACCUUGUCCCCUUCCCCUGCUUACUGCAAGAUCUAUCCCCUCUGCUCUUGCUUCCUCCAACCAUGGACCUAGUUCUUUCCCUCAAUACAUAUGAUGUCGAGGCUGGAACAAGGCCCAAGCCUGGUCACCCAGGCCCUUCCUUAGGGUACCAGUUCAUAAAUUCAACCACCCCCAUUAUAGAAGUACAUCCUAUAUCUCAGUCAACAAGACACCAAUUAGCCAUCUUUUUUCCUCCUCUAUUAUGGUCCUGUGCUAGUCAAUGUCCCAGGGACAGAGGCAUUAGCCUAUUACUAGCUUCAGGGAAUCCUCAAGAUGGGGGGACAGGGAGAGGGGCAGUGUAUACCAUCACCAAGGAUGAAUACAGGAUAAGUCUCCAGAGAUAACUGGGGUGUGUUUGUGUGUGUGUGUAGUAGUAGUAGUAGUAGUAGUAGUAGUAGUAGUAGUAGUAGCAGCAGCUCUUUGGGAAAGAGGAAGUGAUGCUAAGGAGGGUUUGGAAAGUAGUUCAAUAGGCAGCUAGAGAUGUAAGCCAUUUUUGAUAGAAGAGCAGUUAGUUACAAAGGCAGCCUUUAGACAGCACCCCGAACCACAAGCUUCAAACAUUGGAGUCCCAGCUCUGUAGCCACUUGCCGAAUGCACACUGCUCACAUCUCUUCUCAGCUUCAAAACCCACAUCCAUCUCUAAAAUGGGUCUAAUAGUCUCCUCCUGGUUUGAAUAAAUGUUUCUCAGAGUAACUGCACUAAUACUUCUGGUUUGCUUUAUUGAGGCAGGCACCCCAGCUGUCCUGGAACUCACUAUGUAGACCAGGAUGACUUCGGAUCCACUUGCCUAUCAAAUGCUGGAAUUAAAGGCUUGUGCUACCAGACCCUGCUCAAACUGCACUAAUUGUUGGCGUCAGCAUUUCAGCCCAGUGCCAUGGUCCCAUGGCACCAACACAGAAAAAGCAGAGUAGCCAGGAAAACAGCGUUACUUUUCCCCAUUUCCCUAUACCUGCCCAGACACAGAUCCCAUUGUCUGCUUGGAAUUCCACUUCUCUGUCCUCUCUUUGUGUAAAUGUUUUAUAGCCCCUGGAGGCAACUGUUUGGAGGCAAAUUUACUAGGAGCUAUGGACACUGGAUCAGAGGUUAGAUUCUUAGGUGGACUAUUAUCUUGGAGACCGAGUCCUUGGAAACAGAAUUUAACCCUGUAGAGAGCACCAGAGAAAGUCCAGGAGAUACAAAGCCCUUAGCUAGGAUCGUGUGCCACAGAGAGAGGGAUGUGAAUAGAAGCCCGGAGGAAUGGCUUCUUGAAGUGUUACUGGCUCCUAGAAACUGGUGUGUGUGUGUGUGUGUGUGUGUGUGCGUGCGCGCGCGCGCGCGGAGUAGGAGCUGAAGAGAUAGUUACAAAGACCCUGGAUGCCAUCCAUUGAGGUAGAGGCCAGAACUUUCAUUACUGGAUGGGCAGUGGGGAGCCAUAAAGGGUUCCAAAGAUCCCGGUGACAACUCAGCAUCCCCAAAACCGCCCCUACCUGAGGCUUCUAAAGAGAAGGAAUUGAGGGGUCCCACAGCGACCACCUAGACCUGGUGAGACUUGCUAGUCUGUGCCUGCACUGGCAGCUUUGUUCCCUGGAGGCUGACUUCAGCCCUUAAAGGAACCAGUCUUUCCUGGGUUGUGUCCAAGACGCUCCAGCCCCUACCAGUCUGAAAGAAAAAGAGCUCCCAGGACUUGGGGGGAGGGGCCAGGUGCACAUGAUGAUUCGGGCAAGUGCCGGCCUGAUGCGUGUCAGCCAGCACGCCUGUGGACCCAAGGCCCUAGAAAUGGGCGGUGCUUUCGCGGGCGGGUCCUAGCGGCAACGGAAUAAGAGCGCCACCACCACCUAUUCAUUGAUAUGAGGGAUGCUGAAAGGAAGUAUCCCUCCUCCACUGUAUCCUGAGCGCCACAACUGGCUGUCUAACUGCCUCCAAGGACAACGUUCUGGGUAUCCCACAGGUGCUCACAAUCACCGUGCUUAAAUCUCGGCAUUGCAGCCCUAGUCCUCCAAAUAUCCCAAAGAUGGCACUUCCAAACUGUCUCGGACUCCUCACCCUCAGUACCCAAUAUCCAGCCAACCCGAGGCUUCUGCCCUUCCAAAGGACUGUGGGCCUCCCUCACCUCCCUUCUCUUCACUCCCACUCUCCAUCACAUAGCGCCAUUUCUCAGUUUUCUUUCCACCUUCCAUGACCGUUGUCGCUGUAUUAAGCAUUUUCCCAUGGUAUAUGACAGCACGGCUAAACCUCUCAGGCAUCAAUCACAUGAAGGGUCAUAUGCAAAAGUGUGUUUGUGCAGGCACAUAUCAUGGAAAACCUUCUGAGCUCAGAAGUCUGGAGGACAGUUCUGUCUGGAAGGGAGGGGCUCCACUGUGAGGGGGCCUGCUGGAUAAUCAGGGUGAGGCCGCUGGAGAACCAAUAAGUGGUUCUCCUGUUUCUCUCUUUGCCCCAAGCUGAUAUGACUCAGCAACUCACGAUAACUAAUCCCAUCUUUAUUGAAAAAUUUGAUGCUUUGUCAUUUUUUCUUCCUUUUUUAUUAUUUUUAAUUUCUCAAAAAUAUGGCAUUAAGGAUGGGGAUUGAACCUGAAUGGUCGAAGGUUUGCUUAGCCUGGAUUUGAUUUCCCAGCACUGGACAGAAAAGUUGCAUUAAGAUUAUUAUUUAUCUUCACAAGUAGGUUCCGGGACACUUUCACUCACCCCAGCUUGAACUUUACUUGGGAUAGGAGGAUCUGUCUCGCCACACCCAAUUCCUGACCCUGUUGCUGUUUUUUUCAUGACGAUACUGAUUACCCAGGGGCCUCUGAGAUUGGAGAGAGGAUUGGAUGCGGCUCGGAGACCUCCAUUCCUCAAGCCUCAGGAAGGUGCUAGGAAUCAGAAGUCUAGUGUUAUCUCCAGAGGUGUUGUCCUAGGCCAGUCUUCCCUGUGGAUGUUUCUCUCUCUAAAAUGGGCCCUGAAUACUCUACAAGUUGUUGGGUUCUGAGAUCUAAACUGCUGAGGGUGAAUUCUAGAUUGAGGCCACCCAGGCUUCACAUCCUCAGUCCGCUACUACCUGCAAGUCAUAUUUUAUUGUUGUUUGCAAGCUUGACACACACUAGAGUAAUCUGGGAAGAGGACCCUAUAAAGAUGGACCUCUAGGCAAGUCUGUAGGGCUUUGUUUGUUUGUUUGUUUGUUUGUUUGUUUGAGACAGGAUCUCUCUUUGUAGCCCU
rnacentral:sRNA from 1 species